UACAGAGGUCUCAAGCGUUGUUCGGAUUCAUUGGGCGUAAAGGGUGCGUAGGUGGCGCUGUAAGUCGGGUGUGAAAUUUCGGAGCUUAACUCCGAAACUGCAUUCGAUACUGCGGUGCUCGAGGACUGGAGAGGAGACUGGAAUUCAUGGUGUAGCAGUGAAAUGCGUAGAGAUCAUGAGGAAGACCAGUGGCGAGGGCGGGUCUCUGGACAGUUCCUGACACUGAGGCACGAAGGCCAGGGGAGCAAACGGG
rnacentral:rRNA from 1 species